rnacentral:rRNA from 1 species
CUUCCCAUUCCGAACAGAGAAGUUAAGCCCGGUCACGCCGAUGGUACUGCGUAACAGUGGGAGAGUAGGUCGCCGCCGUUU